UACGGAGGGUGCAAGCGUUAAUCGGAAUUACUGGGCGUAAAGCGCGCGUAGGCGGUUUGAUUAGUUGGAUGUGAAAGCCCAGGGCUUAACCUUGGAACUGCAUCCAAUACUGUCAGGCUAGAGUACGGUAGAGGGGGGUAGAAUUCCACGUGUAGCGGUGAAAUGCGUAGAGAUGUGGAGGAAUACCAGUGGCGAAGGCGGCCCCCUGGAUCGAUACUGACGCUGAGGUGCGAAAGCGUGGGGAGCAAACAGG
rnacentral:misc_RNA from 1 species